GGGCUGGGGAGAGAAGCGGAAGCCAGUGAUAGGAUUCAGAGCUGGAACCAGAGAUAGCAGGUCAGGGCGGUAGGUUUGGUACUGAGGGGAGAAGGUUCAUUUGGGACAAAUUCACUGAGGCCUUGGGCAGAGUGAUAGUGCAUUUUUAUAGGGCAUCAACCCCUCACCUGUGAUGGGAGGGCAGAGGUUGGCAUGCAAUGGCACUUAUACAAGGGUAGAUUCCCUCCUUUCUGGAUGACUGUGAGGUGCACCUAGACUGUGGGUUAUGGGAGAUCCUGCCAGCCCUGGAGUGCCUGGGGCCACUGGGGCAGGGCCACAAUGCUUUCCCUGUGGGCGCCCUGGGCUUGGUGACCUCCAGAGUCAAUGUUAGUCAGGCCAUUGUUGGGCCAGUUGUGUUUGUUAAAGCUCUUUAAAACAACAUGCACAAUCACAGGCCUGUCCCACAACUGGAUUCAUGACUCUGAAAGGGUUUCUUGUCCAGGCAGAACCCCCUAGAAGGCUGGGGGCAGGGACGGGGCCGCCCCUUGCUUUCCCCAGUCUGGCUGCCAGCCCCGCGACUGCAGCUGGCACUGGCUGUGAGGCUGGGCCUGUGAGAGGCUCCGAGCAGCGGAACAACACAGUCCUUGAAGCCCAUCGAGACUCAAGUUGGCUGUGGGGGUGGAGGACAAAUGGGGAAUUAUCCUGAGGCUUCCCUGCCCUCUGCUUUGCCAAGGGUUCAUAGUGGACUUGCUGGGAGGCACAAGGGCAGGGGCUAGGAGAGUCCAGCUGUUACAAACCCAGGGGCUCCUCUGCCUAGAAACCCCUUUCUAACCAGGCCAGCACAACCAGCUGCAGACAAUAGUGGCAAAGCAGCCAGCAUCCCUGCUUGGGCACUCCUCACCAUGCAAGGGAGGGAGGAGCUGUGCUGGGGCAGGCCCUGCUCUCCACACCUGGGCAGGCAGGGCUGGGGAUAUUAAUAUGAGUUAUCUGAGUGUUUUCAUGCCAAAUGCUGUGCUCAGCACUGUGCUUAUCUUACAAAAAUUAACCCACGAGAUAGACGCAGCCAGUAUAGCAAGGCGGUGUCCAGGGUCGCAUGGCCAGUAAGUGCAGGGCCAGGAUGUGAUCCCAGCUCUGUCCAACUCGCAUGGGAGCUCUUCACCAAGACAGGACUUGCAGGACUCAGAAGAUGGACGCACUGUGUAACUGUGAGCCCACUGCUUCACCUCUCUGAGCUGCAGAGAAAAGAUGACGAGAAGGAGAGGUCUUAGAACACAUCCUUAUCUGAAGGACAGGAUACAGUCUUGUUUUAGGAAACUCCAGCUGCUCUGUGUCAUUGAAAGGGAAGAGGAGAGACCAGAUGGUCCAAGUUCGCCAUGGCACUGGUAAGGACCUGAGACUGACUGCAGGCCCUUCAUGAAAGCAAAGCCUGGGUGUGUUAUAACCGCCAGUCCCACUCUCCCACAGUGAGGUCCAUCCCGGCAGGGGCUGAGUCCACCUUGACCACUGAGACAAACAGACCUGGUGAUGGACUCAGUGUUUUUAAAUUGUGGAGCUUGGACAGGGAGGGGCGAGAUGGAGAACGAGGUAUACACAAAAGAGAACAAUGUGAUGAGGGCAUGAAGUGUGCUUACCAACCUUCCCUCACUCAGAGGCUGGAAGAGAUUUUAGAGCUUAACAGAAAAAGAGUGGGAAGAGGACACUGCUGGGCAAAAGACAUGAACUAAAGACUUCUCGGCUGUCCCCAUCAGUGGCACGGUGGUCUCAGCAGUACCGAUGUGGAUACUCAAGAACGUGAGGCUACCGUGGAAAUGCUUUGCUUAAACCACACGUUGAGUUUCCAAGGAGUGAAGAUCCCCAGGGAAAGCAUCUAGGACCCUGCCAUGUUGGCCCAGCUCUGGGAAGUCAAUCGACGUGGACCCCUUACUGUGUUAACUGCUAAUCAGCCUUCUGUAAAAAUGAUAUUGCAAAUUCA
ensembl:lncRNA PKP4-AS1 PKP4 antisense RNA 1